rnacentral:rRNA from 1 species
AAUCGAACCCGGAGAUAGCUGGUUCUCCCCGAAAUAGCUUUAGGGCUAGCGUCGCAGCGAGAGAGCCGUGAAGGUAGAGCACUGAAUAUGCGAUGGCCGCAUCCCGCGGUACUGAGCAUAAUCAAACUCCGAAUGUCACGGUGUCAUCUGCGGCAGUCAGACGGCGAGUGAUAAGGUCCGUCGUCAAGAGGGAAACAGCCCAGACCAUCAGCUAAGGUCCCAAAGUGCAUGCUAAGUGGAAAAGGAAGUGGAGACGUGCAGACAACUAGGAGGUUGGCUCAGAAGCAGCCAUCCUUCAAAGAGUGCGUAACAGCUCACUAGUCGAAUGACUCUGCGCCGAUAAUUUACCGGGGCUAAGCAUGACACCGAAGCUAUGGACAGGAAUGUGGUAGGGGAGCAUUGCAUGCAGCGGAGAAGCAUGACCGAGAGGGCAUGUGGAGCGCAUGGAAGAGAGAAUGCCGGCGUGAGUAGCGGCACGUGGGUGAGAAUCCCACGCACCGAUGGCCCAAGGUCUCCAGAGGAAGGCUCGUCCUCUCUGGGAUAGUCGGGACCUAAGGCGAGGCCGAAAGGCGUAGCCGAUGGACGACGGGUGGAUAUUCCCGUACCCGAUGUGUGGCGAUGGAGUGACGGAGAAGGCUCAGGCAACCAGCUGCUGGAAUAGCUGGGGCAAGCGAGAUACCUGCGCACCAGGGAAAUCCGGUGCGCGCAGGGGGAAGGCGCGAAGCAUACGGAAAGCUGCGGCAAGUACGGAAAAGCUGAGAGCAGGCUUCCAGGAAAAGCUUCUAGCACAACACGCAUCGGCCCGUACCGAAAAUGGACACACAUGGGCAAGGAGAGAAUCCUGAGGUGAGCGAGAGAACUAUAGCUAAGGAACUCUGCAAAAUGACCCCGUAACUUAGGGAGAAGGGGUGCUCCAGAAAUGGAGCCGCAGUAAAACGGCCCAAGCGACUGUUUACCAAAAACACAGCUCUCUGCGAAGGCGCAAGCCGAAGUAUAGGGGGUGACGCCUGCCCGGUGCUGGAAGGUCAAGGGGAGCUGUCAGCGCAAGCGAAGCAGCGAGCCGAAGCCCCAGUAAACGGCGGCCGUAACUAUAACGGUCCUAAGGUAGCGAAAUUCCUUGUCGGGCAAGUUCCGACCCGCACGAAAGGCGUAACGAUUUGGGCGCUGUCUCAGCUGUAGACUCGGUGAAGUCUUAGUACCUGUGAAGAUGCAGGUUGCCCGCGACUAGACGGAAAGACCCCAUGGAGCUUCACUGCAGGUUGACAUUGGGCUUGGAUGCAUGAUGUACAGGAUAGGUGGGAGGCUGUGAGCCGUGCGCGCCAGCGUACGGGGAGCCGCUGUUGGGAUACCACCCUUCAUGCAUCUAGGUCCUAACCGGAGGCAACGGGCCACGGGACAGUGUCAGUCGGGCAGUUUGACUGGGGCGGUCGCCUCCCAAAGAGUAACGGAGGCGCCCAAAGAUACCCUCAGCAUGGAUGGAAACCAUGCAUAGAGUGCAAAGGCAUAAGGGUGUCUGACUGCGAGACAUACAGGUCGAGCAGGGACGAAAGUCGGGCUUAGUGAUCCGGCGGAUCCGAAUGGAAGGGCCGUCGCUCAACGGAUAAAAGCUACCCUGGGGAUAACAGGCUGAUCUCCCCCAAGAGUUCACAUCGACGGGGAGGUUUGGCACCUCGAUGUCGGCUCAUCGCAUCCUGGGGCUGAAGUAGGUCCCAAGGGUUGGGCUGUUCGCCCAUUAAAGCGGUACGCGAGCUGGGUUCAGAACGUCGUGAGACAGUUCGGUCCCUAUCUGUCGUGGGCGCAGGAGGUUUGAGGAGAGCUGCCCCUAGUACGAGAGGACCGGGGUGGACGGACCGAUGGUGCACCAGUUGUCACGCCAGUGGCACAGCUGGGCAGCCAAGUCCGGACGGGAUAAGCGCUGAAGGCAUCUAAGCGUGAAGCCCCCUCCAAGAUUAGACCUCCCAUUGG